rnacentral:rRNA from 1 species
GACGAACGCUGGCGGCGUGCUUAACACAUGCAAGUCGAACGGAAAGGCUCUAGUUUGCUGGAGUACUCGAGUGGCGAACGAGUGAGUAACACGUGGGUAAUCUGCCCUUGACUCUGGGAUAAGCUCAGGAAACUGGGGCUAAUACCGGAUAUGAGCUUCUUCUGCAUGGGGGGGGGUGGAAAGUUUUGGGGGUGUGGGAUGGGCCCGCGGCUUAUCAGCUUGUUGGUGGGGUAGUGGCUUACCAAGGCAUGGACGGGUAGCCGGCCUGAGAGGGUGACCGGCCACAUUGGGACUGAGAUACGGCCCAGACUCCUACGGGAGGCAGCAGUGGGGAAUAUUGCACAAUGGGCGGAAGCCUGAUGCAGCAACGCCGCGUGAGGGAUGACGGCCUUCGGGUUGUAAACCUCUUUCGCCUGGGACGAAGCGUAAGUGACGGUACCUGCAAAAGAAGCACCGGCUAACUACGUG